GAAAGCAGUGCGGACAAGGGAAGGCAAAAGGAAAAAAGCUCGGAAGAAAAUUUCGCCGCCAUCUUGACGUGUGAAGUUCGGUGUCGUCGUCGUCGUCUCGUUCCGUGCGUUUCUUGACUGCAGAAAAAAAAAAUCCGGAUUUUUUGUCGGUCGGCCGUUUUGGGUUCGGUUCCGGUUCCGUCGCGGAUUGCGGCACACCAGCAUUACUGUCCGGGUCCCGGUUUUCUGUUCGGCUUGCUCUCCUCAUUAUCUGGUUCCCUGGUGAAUGAAUCAGACGUCGACGGCCUGCAGAAAA